rnacentral:rRNA from 1 species
AACGCUAGCUACAGGCUUAACACAUGCAAGUCGAGGGGCAGCGCAGUGUAGCAAUACACGGGCGGCGACCGGCGCACGGGUGCGUAACGCGUAUCCAACCUUCCCGAUACUCAGGGAUAGCCUUCCGAAAGGGAGAUUAAUACCUGAUGGUGUUCAAAUUCCGCAUGUUAUUUGAACUAAAGAUUUAUCGGUAUCGGAUGGGGAUGCGUGACAUUAGAUAGUAGGCGGGGUAACGGCCCACCUAGUCUACGAUGUCUAGGGGUUCUGAGAGGAAGGUCCCCCACACUGGAACUGAGACACGGUCCAGACUCCUACGGGAGGCAGCAGUGAGGAAUAUUGGUCAAUGGUCGGAAGACCGAACCAGCCAAGUAGCGUGAAGGAUGAAGGUUCUAUGGAUUGUAAACUUCUUUUAUACGGGAAUAAAGCCCACUACGUGUAGUGGUUUGUAUGUACCGUAUGAAUAAGCAUCGGCUAACUCCGUGCCAGCAGCCGCGGUAAUACGGAGGAUGCGAGCGUUAUCCGGAUAUAUUGGGUUUAAAGGGAGCGUAGACGGGAUGUUAAGUCAGUUGUGAAAGGCUGCGGCUCAACCGCAGCACUGCAGUUGAUACUGGCGUCCUUGAGUGCGGUUGAGGUGUAUGGAAUUCGUGGUGUAGCGGUGAAAUGCUUAGAUAUCACGAAGAACUCCGAUUG